GAUGAACGCUAGCGGCAGGCUUAAUACAUGCAAGUCGAGGGGCAGCAGGGGUAGCAAUACCCGCUGGCGACCGGCAAACGGGUGCGGAACACGUACAGAACCUUCCUUUGAGCGGGGAAUAGCCCGAAGAAAUUCGGAUUAAUACCCCAUAGUAUUUCGAGGUGGCAUCACCUUGUAAUUAAAGAUUUAUCACUCAAAGAUGGCUGUGCGGCUGAUUAGGUAGUUGGUGAGGAAUGGCUCACCAAGCCUGCGAUCAGUAACUGGUGUGAGAGCACGACCAGUCACACGGGCACUGAGACACGGGCCCGACUCCUACGGGAGGCAGCAGUAAGGAAUAUUGGUCAAUGGACGCAAGUCUGAACCAGCCAUGCCGCGUGAAGGAUGAAGGCCCUCUGGGUUGU
rnacentral:rRNA from 1 species